rnacentral:rRNA from 1 species
ACGGAAGGCAGCAGUGGGGAAUAUUGGACAAUGGGGGAAACCCUGAUCCAGCGACGCCGCGUGAGUGAAGAAGUAUUUCGGUAUGUAAAGCUCUAUCAGCAAGGAAGAAAAUGACGGUACUUGACUAAGAAGCUCCGGCUAAAUACGUGCCAGCAGCCGCGGUAGUACGUAUGGAGCAAGCGUUAUCCGGAUUUACUGGGUGUAAAGGGAGCGUAGACGGUAUGGCAAGUCUGAUGUGAAAACCCAGGGCUCAACCCUGGGACUGCAUUGGAAACUGUCAAACUAGAGUGCAGGAGAGGUAAGUGGAAUUCCUAGUGUAGCGGUGAAAUGCGUAGAUAUUAGGAGGAACACCAGUGGCGAAGGCGGCUUACUGGACUGUAACUGACGUUGAGGCUCGAAAGCGUGGGGAGCAAACAGGAUUAGAUACCCUGGUA